rnacentral:rRNA from 1 species
GACGAACGCUGGCGGCGUGCUUAACACAUGCAAGUCGAACGGAAAGGCCCUGCUUUUGUGGGGUGCUCGAGUGGCGAACGGGCGAGUAACACGUGAGUAACCUGCCCUUGACUUUGGGAUAACUUCAGGAAACUGGGGCUAAUACCGGAUAGGAGCUCCUGCUGCAUGGUGGGGGUUGGAAAGUUUCGGCGGUUGGGGAUGGACUCGCGGCUUAUCAGCUUGUUGGUGGGGUAGUGGCUUACCAAGGCUUUGACGGGUAGCCGGCCUGAGAGGGUGACCGGCCACAUUGGGACUGAGAUACGGCCCAGACUCCUACGGGAGGCAGCAGUGGGGAAUAUUGCACAAUGGGCGGAAGCCUGAUGCAGCAACGCCGCGUGCGGGAUGACGGCCUUCGGGUUGUAAACCGUUUUCGCCUGUGACGAAGCGUGAGUGACGGUAAUGGGUAAAGAAGCACCGGCUAACUACGUG